rnacentral:sRNA from 1 species
UUUUAGGUUCUCUAUACACUAUUUAUUAGUUAUCCCUUUAUUAUUAAAAGGGAAGUACAAAUUGAAAUUUUGUCUAAUUUGGCCUCAAUUUUGAUUUUAAUUUUAGAUUUUGUUCUUUGCUAUUUAAAAUCAUUAAGGAUAAUUUGGUCUUAACAAUCUCCUAAACUUUAUAUGAUCCGAUUGAAUCUAAACCGUUCAAUAAAAUUAAUUCCCUUUUAAUCUAAACCGUUCAACAAAAAUAAUAUACAAAUCAUAUAUUACGAUUCUUCACUAAUCACUAAAAAUUUAUAUUUAUAAGUUUAGGAUAUCAAAUUUAUUCAAAUAUUUAGUAUAAGAACCAAAUAAACCGAUUGCCCGCGGUAAAUUGCGGGUUAAAACCUAGUUAUUAAUGAAUUUUAAACUUCAAGAU